CUCUCUCAAACAUUUAUUUUACUAAACCAGUUCCUUUAGUAACUGCGUCAGGAGUGCAAGGUACAAUGAAGGUGCUAUUUAAAUGGAUUGUGCAGCACCACUGUAUGUGGGAAAGACAUGGGAAACAGCUAGACUGAAAAUGCAGCCAAAGACAAAACAUUCCUGCAGUGAUGUGUGUGUUAGACACCAAGGAUGCAUCACCCAGAGGUCCAGAUUUCCUGCACUGACUUGUAAAAGCCAGCAACAAGCUGAGUUGGAGGGCCAGCCACAGGCGGCCCAAGUGGAGGUGAGAUUUUCCAGUGUAUCUCCAAGUACUGGAGCUGUUCUCGUCCCAGAUUCCCUGCUGUUCUCCUUGGCAUUGCCCACUGGGAUUUCCCACUAAGCACAAGGAAUCUUCCCUUGGAAUUCAUCUGCCUGGUAGUGUUAGAGGGCUAUGGGGAGCACUGAUGUAUCAUCUUAUCCAGAACUGCUUUGGUACAGAACCAGAUAUCUUUGCUCUUACUUGACAGAUAUUUUUCUGAACUGUUCAUAAAGAUCCUUAAAAGAUGCCAUACCCAAGUACCUUUUAGCACUGUUUCCACAUCUUCUUUAAUUAGAAUCUAUUCCCUAAAAUCCAGAAAUAUUCACAGUAAGAUUUUUUCUAAUACUUCCUUCUGUCUAAUGGUAAACAGUCUAUCAUCAUUGUACACCAUCAAUGUUUUAUAUAUCAGAGGGCUACAAUCAUACUCUCAGUGAUUUUCUUUCUUCUAAAUAAAUUAGUUUUUAAGCUUCA
rnacentral:lncRNA from 1 species